AUAAUAAUAAUAAUAAUAAUAAUAAUAAUACAUUUUAUUUAUAGGCGCCUUUCACGACAUUCAUGGUCACCUAACAGGCAGAGAUAGAGAAAAUAACAAAAAGUCAAUGAGUUAAGGAAUAAAGUAACAUAAAAUAAACAGAGGGAUGGGAGUCAUACAGAAUAGAGAACGAGAUGAGUUUUGAGGCGGGAUUUGAAAGUGGAGAGAGUUGAUGUCACGAAGGUCCGAUGGAAGGGAGUUCGAGAGGCGAGGGGCAGAGCGACUGAAGGCUCUAAACCCCAUGGUGGUCAGGCGGGCUGGCAGGACAGUGAGGUGGAUGGAAGAGGAAGACCUGAGAGUGCAGGUAGGGGUGUGGAUGUGCAAGAGUUCAGAGAGGUACAGAGGAGUUUGGUUGUGGAUGGCCUUAAAGGCGAGGAGUAAGAUCUUAAAGUCAGUGUGGUGUUUAACUGGGAGCCAGUGAAGCUGCUGAAGGACAGGAGGGAUGUGAUUGAUGGAGGGGGUUCCCGGCGAUGAUGCGGGACCAGUUGAAGUUUGUGGAUGGACUUGAGAGGUAGACCAAAAAGGAGCGAGUUACAGUAAUCAAUACGGGAUGUAACCAGGGUGUGAACAAGAAUGGUGGUACUGUGCGGUGUGAAGGACAGGCGAAGGUGGUUAAUAUUGAGUAGUAGUGACAUUAUUGAUGUGAGCUUGGAAUGAUAGAGUGCUGUCAAGAAUGGGAAGGAGGGGGAAACUGAGGAGUUAUCAAUGUCAAGUGUGAAACUGUCAAUUUUUGCCAAGGUGGAUUUGCUGCCAAUGAGAAAAAAGUUGUUGCAUCUCCAUCUGUAACUUUUGACCUGCACGUUAUACUGCAGUUGUUUUUUCUUGUUGACCAACGUGUAGUUUUUGUGCCAAACUACAUUAACCUUGGUAUUUUUUCCAAUUUGCACUCAGCGUUUGUUCUUCGUGGUUCUCUCGUGCUGCCUGAUUAGAUGCUGUUGGAUUGGUUCAAACUAGGGGAUUCGGAGAAUUAAGUGUCAACUGCACUUCCUGUUCCCUCAUCUCAAAGGCAAUUGGCUUUUUGAAUGGGUUUAUGUUUAGAUGCCUGAAAUAAGGACUGUGGUCAACACAAGCUAAAUAGAAUGUCACGUUUUGUUUUAGCUGAUACCCCAUUCAUACAUUUUGAAGCGUCUUAAGACGUCUUAAAACAGACAGUUGCUAACAAGUGGCUAAAUGAGACUACAGAGUGCCAUCACGUCAAACCGCGUUGAACACGGCUUUAUAGCCUUGUUGUGGUGGCAACCUUGAAGUCACACAACCUUGGUGUAGUUUGUUUAUAACUUUCAACAGCAUUUAUGCUUCAAAAAUCAAGUGGUGUUCAUUUGUUACCUGUCUGAACAAAACAUGUAUCAUAUACGUUUGUUUGCCACAGAGCUUAUUUUCGGCAGUAAUCCAAAAUUUAAUGGCUCAAUUCCAUUGGCUUUUUGUCGAGGGAACCCUGCCGAUGUUAAUGUCUGUGGUGAACCACAAAUAAAUGUCAUCCCUGCAGCACUCUAUAGCGUUAAUGUUAGUUGAUUCAGGAAAUGAAGGAACAUGAAUUGAUAUGUGUUACACUUUUUAAAGAACAUACUUCAUAAUCUUUGUGCUUGGGUGAAGGUAUAGAGUAUUUUCAAGUCAAAAGGCUCAAGUGAAAUCACAAGUCAUUGGUGUUGAAUCCAAGUCGACUAGCAAGUCUUCUUUGAGUCUGUCAAAUCUAAAGUCAUCAAAUUUGACUCAAGUCCAAGUCAUGUGACUUGAGUCCACAUGUCUGGGGACAGGUGACAAGAUAAUCCAGUAAAAUGUCUUCAGGUUACAGGAGGUCACAGGUACCAGGUCUGUUGUUAAAUACAUGCACAAAAAGUGAGAAUUUCUUUGCCAAGAGAACUGUGAGGUGACAGGCAGUACAACCUAUUUGUCAAAUUGGAAGCAUUUUCCAGGGACCUUUGCUCCAGGUAAUCUCUACGUGUUCCUAAAAGGGCUCUGAGGUUCUUGGGAAAGUUCACAUUGUGGAAAAUGGCCAGCAGAGGUGUUAGCCUAAUGCUGCAGAAAUCAAACCAGAACCUUCACUUGAUUCACUCUAACGAGGUGUAGUGCACUCUUCAUUGAUACAAGUAAAUAUUACCUCAUUCAGUGUGCACUGAGUUAGUCUGGCUGAACGUUCACCUUCAAAAUGACUCAUAAAAUCAAGAGACAUGGUGAAAUCAAUCUUUCAAUCUGGCAUUACUCACCGAUGUUAUCCAAGAAUCGUUUUAAUCACUUUAUCCUCCAGUGUGAUGAUUGCAAUGUACAUGGCACAAUGCACUCUAAUAGAAAUGUGCACUUGCAUGUAUCUGAUUGUCAAACAGUGUGUUUCAUUGCAUUGCAGCAUAACUUGAACCGGGUUCAACUUCUUUGCUGGAGCCCUUUGUUUCAGCAUCUCUGCAAUGGUUGCACUGGGUUGCAUUCAUUGCGACAGUGCAAAUGUCAGUUAUGUAAUGUUAUGUAAGUCCAAUUUUACCCUAAGACUGAUGAGCAUUCAAUGUGGACAGAAUUGUGUGUUUUUAUGCAAUAGCUAGAGACGGUCCUAAAGACGGUCCUGGCAAAGACCCUCUUACUGUUGGCAAACAGUAUGUUUUUGGCGGGCAAGGCUUAGCUGGAGGCAAAACAGUUCUCCACAGACAUUAAUCAGCGCUAGCUAGCAAGUUCUUUUGGCUUGCUUAAGAAAACAGAGGAAGAUGAUACAAGUGGUGCAUUCAGAAAUAAUCACUCAGAUUGCUGGAGUGACCCUGGCACAAACUGCACCAUUCGUAAAUUCGGAGCACCGUUGGAAUGUACCUGCAUUCAUCCCUACAACAGGAAAUACUUUUUCCCUAACCUGACAUGAAGUGUGUGCUGCACAUGUGAGCACUUUUGAUGAUCUCCUCCGUCCAGUCCUUUCGUCUUAUCACAUUUAACCAUAGCUAUCUUUGUUUUGUUGACAGCACUGGCUGGUAUGUGAUAAAAUUUAAGUUUUGAGCCAUGACUCCUUCUAUUCUGGCUCCCAGUAACACAACAAGACGACAUUAUAAGACUCCUAUGUAGCCUACAGCCCUGUGGUGGUGAGGCAUGUUUUGCCUCCAGCUAAUAAAAUGACGUCAUCGUGUCGUUGGCACUAAAAGGGUCUAUACUAUGCAGGAAGCGUUGGCUGCUGUUUGUUAACAGUAUUGCCAGUGAAAGUAAAGGUGAAAGCCAACCCCAGAUUCACUCUUGAUCUGGAACGAGCUUUGUCUACUUCGUUAGAUUUGCCUCAAGAUAUUGGCAGGUUUUUGGCUCUUUGUCUGCGAUUUUUGUAGCUUCCUCUUGAAUGCGUGCUGCUCACGGUCUGGCACCUGGUCACUAACUUUGGAGAUACAAAAAGUCCCGAACACAGCAAACUAUAAAUAAGAAGAUAAAUACACCGCCACAAACUUCUAGUGCGCCACAAGUGAUUAAUUCUGUACAAGUCUAUACAUUGUUUUUAGAAAACAAUAACUGCAUAGUAUACCUUGAACUACACUAAGCCAUUACUUUAGUCCAGCCAUCUCUCACGUUAGCAUAACUGCUCUCAAAUUGAUCUUAAAGCUUAUAUUUAGAAAUGACAUUUUUGCGAUUACAAGCCUCUCAACAGGGAGCCAAUCACAAGUGCUUCAGCCAAUAACAGUGCUGGAAAAUACUUUGUUUAAAUCUCAUGAAGAAAUUUUUUUUUCCAUCCAUCUUUUCUUUGUUAACCAUUAUCCAAACCUACCAAACCAAACUACCUCUGCCUUUUGCCUUUAUAGAUUUCUUUGCUGUUGUUACGUAAUGUUAUUUCCACCUUAUUGGUGAUCCAGCCCAGGCAACAGAAGAAAUGUUGACAUUGCACGUUUCUGCAAACCACGGCUACAUUACUGUAUGUUUCAUAUCAACAUUUCUAAAGUGACGUAGUUCUGAUUACAUGUACAUGAGCUGGCUUUGUCAUUGGGAGAUGGAGGGGGUGGUGGAUGGUGUGCCAACAUGGCAAUACCACUGUUCGAAACCAACAAGCAACAAAGUUUGUUUUUAGCAAGACAUCGCUGUGUUUUCAGCAGCGAUUGUGCCACCAAAACUGGUCAUUUUAAGUCAAAACCAAGUGGGUUUUGUGCCUUAACAUAACCACAAGCUAACCACAUCACUGUUGAAAUGUAAAGAGUCAUAAAGUUUAAACAUAUCUGCUACUUAAUGUACAAAUGUUCUAUAUCUGUGGUUUGCAGCAAUGUAAAAAGGCAACAUUCAAUAUUAAAGACUGGGCUGAGUGACCACGACUGUUCUCAGAAAACGUUGCCGUUUCUACAGUUAGAUUUGACAGAUGAAAUUACUGCACACUGCUUCAAAGUGCCAUUUUAUUCGUAAGGCUUAAUAUCUGUCUGUCUGUCAUGAAAAGCGUGCAGGAAUUUCUUAUUUCUCUGUUCUACUUUCAUUCAGAUUACAUUCUGCAGGGAUUCUUACUUAGACGUGUGAGUAUCAACUUGCCGCACAAAAAACAUGGAAAACUCAUGUUGCCUAAUUAAACACAGCAUUCACAACACAGCAACCUUUUCCUUAUUUUAUAUAAAAACAAUAUAAUUUGAAAAUAAAUAUGCUUUACUGUUUUACAUAGACACAGAAAACAUGUUAAUAGUGAAGGAGAGACAAAGAGAACUAAUAAUGAGGGCUCUAAGACUGAUGGCAGAGACGAUGCAUAUUGUUAUCCAGAUUUAAAACGGUGGUGGUGGUGGUGGUGGUGUUGUGGCGUACGCUGCGCUGCUAGCAGUAGUUUAUUUGUAUUUACAUCUUGCAGGACGGACAAAACACAGGCCCGCUACUUACUUUAAAUACUUAAAUACAACUCACUAACACCUACUCACAGAUGUGCACAUCGGAAAAUGCACGUGAACACACACUCAUACACACGUACACAAACACACAGAUACACGUAUGUUAAAAUCCUACACGGCACCCACACCCUUAGACAAGAGGGGCUAAAAAAUCCAACAUGGUCUCACAGAAAUACAAGAAAUGACUUCUUAACACAGCAUUACGUGCUGGUGGCACAAAUUGUGUUGAAAUGACAUGCUGGCAUGAUGGAAACAGUGCCAAUGGAAAGUCAGUUCAGAUCCUUGGUCAUGGUGGACACACAAAUUUCCUGGUUCAACCACAUCACGCACUGGCUGGUUGUUAAUGUUACUGCCGCAGAUAGUACAAAGAGUGAGAAAGUCUGCUUAGAGAAGUGGUAACGUUGGUGGAUGCGUUGAAUGAAAAACCGAACAUUCACUUUAUGUUUUACUUACUCACGCUGUUCAUGUAGUUACAUCAUGAAACGUCAUGUAACUAUCAAACCAAGCAGUUUUGGUGCCUUAACACAAUUGUGCCGCCAUAUACCGCAAAAAAAACAAAACAAAAAACAUAGUACUUUUAACCGAAAAUGCGAUCUUGUUUGUAAAGUUAUCCAAGUAUUUUGGUGGGUAAACCCAAUCAUGCUGCUCCAUACGUGACAAACACAGUAAAUGUACCCGAAAACACAAUCUUGUUCUAAACCUCACCAAACAUGAACCUAACAAACGUAGUUAUUUUAGCUGAAAACACAAUUUUCACUUAGCAGAUUUGCUGCCUCAUCUCAACCGUGCCGUCCAAUACAUAAAAACGUAGUUAUUUUAAACUCGUUUUCCUAGACCUAACCAACCAAUUUUGUGCUUAAACCCAAUCCUGUUGUUCUGUAUGUAACAAACGUAGUUAUUUUAACCGAAAACCCAAUCUUUUUCUAAACCUAAACAAGCCAGUUUGGUGUCUAAUCCCAACUGUACCGUCGCAUACGUAACAAACCUAGUAAUUUAAACUGAAAACAUCAUUUUUUUCUAAAACUUACCAAACAAUUUUGUGCCUAUACCCAAUUGUGUUCCCCUGUAUGUAACAAACGUAGUUAUUUUAACCAAAAAUGCAAUCUUUUUCUUACCUAACCAAGAAGUUUUGGUGUCUAAAUCCAGCCGUGCUGCCACAACGUAAUUUCAACACGAUACCAUGUAAUGUGGCGUUCAGAGGCCAUGGUCAUUUCACGUAUUUCUGCGAGAUCCUGUUGAAAAAUCAUCAUGAGAUGUCAUCAGUACACAAGUACAAAUGAUCCAUUUAAGGGAAUGUUAACAAAUCAUUUUUGAUUUUUUUUUUUUUUUUCGUGUUUCGUAGAAAA